rnacentral:miRNA from 1 species
CACAAAAUCAUACGCCUUAGUU